CACGUAGGGCGCAAGCGUUGUCCGGAAUUAUUGGGCGUAAAGAGCUCGUAGGCGGUCUGUUGCGUCCGCUGUGAAAACUCGGGGCUUAACCCCGAGCCUGCAGUGGAUACGGGCAGACUAGAGGUAGGUAGGGGAGAAUGGAAUUCCCGGUGUAGCGGUGAAAUGCGUAGAUAUUGGGAGGAACACCGGUGGCGAAGGCGGCCCCCUGGACCGGUACUGACGCUGAGGCGCGAAAGCGUGGGUAGCAAACGGG
rnacentral:rRNA from 1 species